AUCCUGGUGAUGCAGGUCCAAUAACUACUCAAAUCUCAUCAUCAUUAUGCCAGAUGUAAUGUUACAAGUCGAUUUCUGCUCCAAAGGCUUUGCCUGGAUUAAGGAAAGUAUGUGUGCAUCUGAUUGAGGUUUGGAAGCAGUGGAUUAAGAAGCUGAGACUCAAAGGAUUUCAGUGAUUUUCUCAGGGAUUCAGCAAUAAAGUCAAGAUUAAAAGCCUAACUCCUAAUUCCCAAUCUAGUGCUCAUUCUAAUAAGAUGGCAGCUGGCUGCAUGAGGAGGGCCAACUCCUCCUUCUCCACCUGGGCUCCAUGUGAAACAAAUAUGGCCUGGAGGACUGGACGGACAGGGAAUAUAGUCACCAGUGGGUCCUUCUCUUCCCACCCUAAAUGUUCAGUACAGAGUCAUGGUGAAAGGCUACACUACUGUGCCAGUUUGAGUGUAUUGUGUCCCCCAAAUGCCAUUAUCUUUGUAGUCUUGUGUGGGGCAGAAGUUUUGGUGUUGGUUAGAUUUGCUUGGAGUGUGCCCCACCCAGC